rnacentral:rRNA from 1 species
UACGUAGGGCGCAAGCGUUGUCCGGAAUUAUUGGGCGUAAAGAGCUCGUAGGCGGUUUGUCGCGUCUGCUGUGAAAGCCCGGGGCUCAACCCCGGGUCUGCAGUGGGUACGGGCAGACUAGAGUGCAGUAGGGGAGACUGGAAUUCCUGGUGUAGCGGUGAAAUGCGCAGAUAUCAGGAGGAACACCGGUGGCGAAGGCGGGUCUCUGGGCAACAACUGACGCUGAGGAGCGAAAGCGUGGGGAGCAAACAGG